rnacentral:miRNA from 1 species
UGGGUUGGCCAAAAAGUUCGUUUGGGUUUUUCCAUAAGCUCUUAUGGAAAAAGCAGAAGAAACUUUUUGGCCAACCCA